rnacentral:rRNA from 1 species
CCAAUAGCGUAUAUUAAAGUUGUUGCAGUUAAAAAGCUCGUAGUUGAAUUUCGGGAUCAAUAUGUCGGUCGUGCCUCCGGUACGUACUGGCGUUAUUGGUUUCUCCCUUCUGACGAACCACGAUGUCAUUAAUUUGGUGUCAUGGGGAAUAAGGACUGUUACUUUGAAAAAAUUAGAGUGUUUAAAGCAGGCUCACGCUUGAAUACAUUAGCAUGGAAUAAUGAAAUAGGACGUUUGAUUCUAUUUUGUUGGUUUCUAGGAUCGACGUAAUGAUUAAUAGGGAGAGUUGGGGGCAUUAGUAUUCAAUUGUCAGAGGUGAAAGUCUUGGAUUUAUUGAAGACUAACUACUGCGAAAGCAUUUGCCAAGGAUGUUUUCAUUAAUCAAGAACGAAAGUUAGGGGAUCGAAGACGAUCAGAUACCGUCGUAGUCUUAACCAUAAACUAUGCCGACUAGGGAUCGGAUGAUGUUAAUUUUUUAAUGACUCAUUCGGCGCCUUACG